rnacentral:rRNA from 1 species
AUUGAACGCUGGCGGCAGGCCUAACACAUGCAAGUCGAGCGAGCGGCGGACGGGUGAGUAAUGUCUGGGAAACUGCCUGAUGGAGGGGGAUAACUCCUGGAAACGGUAGCUAAUACCGCAUACCACCACCUGUGCCCAGAUGGGAUUUGCUCGUAGGUGGGGUAACGGCUCACCUAGGCGACGAUCCCUAGCUGGUCUGAGAGGAUGACCAGCCACACUGGGACUGAGACACGGUCCAGACUCCUACGGGAGGCAGCAGUGGGGAAUAUUGCACAAUGGGCGCAAGCCUGAUGCAGCCAUGCCGCGUGUGUGAAGAAGGCCUUCGGGGUGUAAAGCACUUUCAGCGGGGAGGCGGUACCCGCAGAAGAAGCACCGGCUAACUCCGUGCCAGCAGCCGCGGUAAUUC